rnacentral:rRNA from 1 species
UGUCCAUUUGAAGAUAUAAAUGGUCUGGCCUGCUCACUGAUAUAAUAUUAUUUAAGAGCCGCGGUAUUUUGACCGUGCAAAGGUAGCAUAAUCAUUAGGAGUUUAAUUGAAACCUGGUAUGAAGGGUUGGACAAAGAAAAGACUGUCUCGAUGAUAUAGAUUGAAAUUUACUUUUAAGUGAAAAGGCUUAAAUGAAUCAAAGGGACGAUAAGACCCUAUAAAGCUUUAUAAAUAAUUUAGAUUUAAUUAAUUUAUGUAAUAAAAGUUAAAUUUAAUUAUUUUAUUUUGUUGGGGUGAUGUGAGUAUAAAUUUUAUUAACUGCUUAAAGAAAUUACUAUUAUAAUAGAAUUGUUGUGAUUAAUGAUCCUUUUUUAAGAUUAAAAGAUUAAGUUACUUUAGGGAUAACAGCGUUAUUUUUUUUGAGAGUUCAUAUCGAAAAAAAAAGAUUGCGACCUCGAUGUUGAAUUAAAAUAUCUAUAUAAUGCAGUCGUUAUAAAAGAGG